rnacentral:rRNA from 1 species
AUUGAACGCUGGCGGCAGGCCUAACACAUGCAAGUCGGGCGAGCGGCGGACGGGUGAGUAGUGUAAGGGGAUCUGCCUGAUGGCGGGGGAUAACUACUGGAAACAGUAGCUAAUAAAUAACACCAUCAGAGGAAGCCAUAUGGGCUUCGCUUGUAGGUGUGGUAGCGGCUCACCUAGGCCACGAUCCCGAGCUGGGCUGAGAGGAUGACCAGCCAAACGGGAACUGUGACACGGGCCAGACUCCUACGGGAGGCAGCAGGGGGGAAGAGUGCGCAAUGGCCGCAAGCGUGAUGCCGCCAUGCCGCGUGUAUGCAGAGGGCCUGCGGGUUGUAAAGUUCUUUCAGCGAGGAGGCGUUACUCGCAGAAGAAGCACCGGCUAACUCCGUGCCAGCAGCCGCGGUAAUUC